AGGUGAGCGAAAAUAUGUGUGUCAACUGUGCAAUCGUGCGUUCAAACAAAUGACCCACUUGCAACAGCACCAUAGGAUACACACUGGUGAGCGCAAGUACAUCUGCCAGUGUUGUGACCGAGGCUUCAAGCAGCUGACCCACUUACAACAGCACUACAGGAUCCACACCGGUAAGCCUGUUCACGUCUGCUCCCUCUCUGCCUCAUGUCUUGCUUUCACUUUCAGCUUGCACAGUCUGUCUGUUUGUCUGUCUGUUUGUCUCCAUGGCAAGACCUCCAAGGCAUGGACAGCCCCAGGAUUCCUCCCAAGUGUUGGCACACAGCAAUUCUUUGGACAAGCUGACAGAGGAUGAAUAGAGAGAACAGAAACGACAAACGACCAGAACAGCAAAACGGAACGAAAGAAGGGAAAGAAACGACAAACGACCAGAACAGCAAAACGGAACGAAAGAAGGGAAAGAAACGACAAACGACCAGAACAGCAAAACGGAA